rnacentral:rRNA from 1 species
UGGGGAAUAUUGCACAAUGGGCGCAAGCCUGAUGCAGCCAUGCCGCGUGUAUGAAGAAGGUCUUCGGGUUGUAAAGUACUUUCAGUCGGGAGGAAGGUGGUAAGGUUAAUAACCUUAUCAAUUGACGUUACCGACAGAAGAAGCACCGGCUAACUCCGUGCCAGCAGCCGCGGUAAUACGGAGGGUGCAAGCGUUAAUCGGAAUUACUGGGCGUAAAGCGCACGCAGGCGGUUGAUUGAGUCAGAUGUGAAAUCCCCGGGCUUAACCCGGGAAUUGCAUCUGAUACUGGUCAGCUAGAGUCUUGUAGAGGGGGGUAGAAUUCCAUGUGUAGCGGUGAAAUGCGUAGAGAUGUGGAGGAAUACCGGUGGCGAAGGCGGCCCCCUGGACAAAGACUGACGCUCAGGUGCGAAAGCGUGGGGAGCAAACAGG